UGGGAUAUGAGGGAAAAUAGCUCCAGUUCAGGAAAAAAAAUAAGUGCUUAAACAUGUUGGAUUCUUUUUGUUCUGAGAUCACAGAGUUGCUCCUUCAAACUGACUGAUCUGCGGGUGAAAUGGAGCAGAAGGUACAGCAUUAGCAGACAGAGCUCUCUGAACACCCAGCCUGGCAGCAUCAGUGUUGCUGUUUGGGUCUGACAAAGCGGCAGCAGAUUUUACGUGCUACAAGACCAACGUAUUGAUUCCUAUGAGCAUUGGUAAGACUCCUCCUGUAUGGCUGUUGAGGAUGAGAUUCUUGUUAUCCUCCUCCUUUGGUUCCCAUGGAUGAAUAUGAAGGACAGACCAAGAAAGGACCCUUGGAGUAUGAGUACAAGAGUGUUUUAUUGUUCAUUGUAUUGUGGUGCUGAGUUCUCAG